rnacentral:rRNA from 1 species
CCCGCGCCGUAUUAGCUAGUUGGUGGGGUAACGGCCUACCAAGGCGACGAUACGUAGCCGACCUGAGAGGGUGAUCGGCCACACUGGAACUGAGACACGGUCCAGACUCCUACGGGAGGCAGCAGUAGGGAAUCUUCCGCAAUGGGCGAAAGCCUGACGGAGCAACGCCGCGUGAGUGAUGAAGGUCUUCGGAUCGUAAAGCUCUGUUGUUAGGGAAGAACAAAUGUGUAAGUAACUGUGCACAUCUUGACGGUACCUAACCAGAAAGCCACGGCUAACUACGUGCCAGCAGCCGCGGUAAUACGUAGGUGGCAAGCGUUAUCCGGAAUUAUUGGGCGUAAAGCGCGCGUAGGCGGUUUUUUAAGUCUGAUGUGAAAGCCCACGGCUCAACCGUGGAGGGUCAUUGGAAACUGGAAAACUUGAGUGCAGAAGAGGAAAGUGGAAUUCCAUGUGUAGCGGUGAAAUGCGCAGAGAUAUGGAGGAACACCAGUGGCGAAGGCGGCUUUCUGGUCUGCAACUGACGCUGAUGUGCGAAAGCGUGGGGAUCAAACAGGAUUAGAUACCCUGGUAGUCCACGCCGUAAACGAUGAGUGCUAAGUGUUAGGGGGUUUCCGCCCCUUAGUGCUGCAGCUAACGCAUUAAGCACUCCGCCUGGGGAGUACGGUCGCAAGACUGAAACUCAAAGGAAUUGACGGGGACCCGCACAAGCGGUGGAGCAUGUGGUUUAAUUCGAAGC